UACGUAGGGUGCAAGCGUUAAUCGGAAUUACUGGGCGUAAAGCGUGCGCAGGCGGUUUUGUAAGACAGGUGUGAAAUCCCCGGGCUUAACCUGGGAACUGCAUUUGUGACUGCAAAGCUGGAGUGCGGCAGAGGGGGAUGGAAUUCCGCGUGUAGCAGUGAAAUGCGUAGAUAUGCGGAGGAACACCGAUGGCGAAGGCAAUCCCCUGGGCCUGCGCUGACGCUCAUGCACGAAAGCGUGGGGAGCAAACAGG
rnacentral:rRNA from 1 species